rnacentral:rRNA from 1 species
AUGGAGGCAUCAGGCAGCGGUGUAUUUGCUUCCGUACUCACAUGGCUCACCAGAUAUGCCUUGCCGGCGAUCAUCAACGAGCUUUCAGGGGGGAAGAGCUGUGUGAACCAGGUAGCAGAAAAUGAAUCUGAAGACACUGCAGAUUUGGUGGUGUCCUACGGAUCAUUUGAGAGCUCCUUCUCGAACGUCGCUGGAUUGGUCUCAGAUGAAGAUGAAUCAUAUGAAGAGCAGCCGCGCUUGCAGGCUUACAUGGAGGCGGAUCAUGGUGGUGAAGAAAGGACUGGCGACUAUGAUCCAUUUGGAGCCGCAGGGACUGAAGACCUGAAUGCCCUUGUUGGUGAAGAGGGAGAAGAUGGAGACAGAGGGGAACGAAUCUUCGGGAGGAAGGGACGAUGGGUUUGCCACAAUAAAUGCCUUAGUUGGAUGGAUCCCGUUAGAUGA